rnacentral:rRNA from 1 species
CAGCAGCCGCGGUAAUACGAAGGGUGCAAGCGUUACUCGGAAUUACUGGGCGUAAAGCGUGCGUAGGUGGUGAGUUAAGUCUGUCGUGAAAGCCCCGGGCUCAACCUGGGAAUGGCGCCUGGGACUGGUUUGCUAGAGAUCGGGAGAGGAGCGUGGAAUUCCCAGUGUAGAGGUGAAAUUCGUAGAUAUUGGGAAGAACACCGGUGGCGAAGGCGGCGCUCUGGACCGAGACUGACGCUGAGGCGCGAAAGCGUGGGGAGCGAACGGGAUUAGAUACCCCGGUAGUCCCAGCCCUAAACGAUGGAUACUAGGUGUCGGGGGUAUCGACCCCUCCGGUGCCGCAGCUAACGCAGUAAGUAUCCCGCCUGGGGAGUACGGCCGCAAGGUUGAAACUCAAAGGAAUUGACGG